rfam:Populus trichocarpa isolate Nisqually-1 chromosome 6, whole genome shotgun sequence.
UAAUCUUUUUAGAUUAGAUCCUCAUCCAAUAAUAUCAUAUUGUCACCGGAAUGCUUAAAGCCAACCGUGUGUGUAAGCCCGACUACAUCAAAUUGUUUAGAGAUGCUUUUAGAAAAUCAAU